GGGUGGGGCGGCACCGUCCUCCUCGGCAACGGCCAAUGAGCGGAUCGGGAGGCCAGCGGCGGGGCUGCGGGCUAAACACAGCCAAGUGAUGCUAUUGAAUGCGGCAUGCAUGCAUGUACUAGUAAGUAAGCGAGGAAGGAACGCAGAUGCAUGAUUGAGAGGCAACGGAGCGCCCCCGAUCGGCGUCCUUUUCCAAGCCCCCACUCGACCAGGACCCUUUCUUCCCAUUCAAUUCAAUGCCGUGAUGGCCACAAUUCAUGCGUCGUCGACAAACCAGACACUCGGCCAUCAUGAUGACAAAGCCCCGGCCCCCGGCCCUCCCUGGCUGCAGGCAGCGAAUGAUUAGGAGAAUUUCGAGUCACUCAUCCAACCAAGCGGUCGAUCAUUAUAUUUAACCCGGCCGCGGCCGGUCGAUCCAUGGAUGGAUGGAUGGCAGCAGAUGUCGAUCGAUGGAUGGCUUGGCUGCAGAUGUCGAUCGAGUACUGCUCCUGCUUCUCCUUCUUCUUCUGCAUGAUAAUCGCUCGUAACUUCUGGGAGACGUCAAAUCGACAUGCAUGCUGCUGUGCUGAUCUUGUUGCCACAGAGACUGCAGACUAGAGGGCUGGGCUGGACCACGGCUGGUGGCCGGCUGCCAUUUCUAGCUCGGCCAUUCAAUUCCGCCCGGCGGUUUGACACACGAGGUACCGCCCGGCCGGCCAUUCAAUCGGCGCGGGUGGUACCGCCCCGCCGCGCGCUCGCUCGCUCGCGGCUACUCCUCCAUGUGUUCCAUGUCGCUGGCCUGCUACUACGUGUAUGAUGGUGCAAUAAUCUAGUAUCUACCACUAGUCCUCCACCAAUCUGCCGCCACCGUGGCGGUGCUCCGAUAUGAUUUGAGCCGUGGCUGGUCGAUGCCGUCAGCACGCGCGCCCGGUGCCGGCGUGUUUUUUUUUUGUUCUCAUCGGGGUCAACACAACGCCUGCUGUACGUGCGAGACGCGCCCGCGCCGGCCGGCUUGUUGCGUUGGUAAUUAACAGCCCAGCCCAAACAAUUAACCGGCGUGGCGGCUCCCCGGACCCCGCCGGAGAGCGGAGAGGGG
rnacentral:lncRNA from 7 species